UACGAAGGGUGCAAGCGUUAAUCGGAAUUACUGGGCGUAAAGCGUGCGUAGGCGGUGAGUUAAGUCUGUCGUGAAAUCCCCGGGCUCAACCUGGGAAUGGCGAUGGAUACUGGCUCGCUCGAGUUCGGGAGAGGAUGGUGGAAUUCCCAGUGUAGAGGUGAAAUUCGUAGAUAUUGGGAAGAACACCGAUGGCGAAGGCAGCCAUCUGGACCGACACUGACGCUGAGGCGCGAAAGCGUGGGGAGCAAACAGG
rnacentral:rRNA from 1 species